CGGCCGUAACUAUAACGGUCC
rnacentral:rRNA from 1 species